AUAUAUUUUACUAGUAUUAUUUAUAUUUUCUGACUUUUCACAACAUAAACAAACUUAGCCCUGACUUUGAACUACCUCAAACUCGACCUCGACCACCUGUUGCAACAAGUUGGCUCUCCGGUCUUCGGCUCGAACAUGUUGCGCUCUCUGGCGCUUGUAUCUUUGUAUCUUCGCGCUUCCACCGAUCGAAUUUCUUUCGUGUUGCGCCUGCGCACAUUUGUAUCUCUACCGUUGACGUCUUCGGAUUUGUGCGGAUUCUUCAGCGCAGUGCCGCACACUAUUUUUCGCGUGCCCGUUUCUUCGGUUCGGUUUCAUUGUGGACGUGGAUAUCUUCCUCAACUUCAUUCAAACUACCACACGUACACGUGAAGUGGCAAUAAUCGAAAGAGCAAGCAACAGAAAUUAGAACAAGCCCACAGCAAAAAAACCGAAUAAAAAGUGAACAAAAAUAGCAAAAAAGUUUCAAUAUUACUAUGGAUAAAAUGAGGCAGAAAAAUUGUGAAAAUGGUUGACAAAAAGUUACACAAAUUGUCCAAUACAAACCAAAUAAAGUUACACAAAUUGGUAUAACCAGAAAAGUGCUAAAAAUUGUGAAAAACGAAAAUUAUAUAAAAGAAAAAAACAGUGCAAUACAAACAACACCAGCAAGGAAUUACAAUUAACAAAAAAGUUAAAAUUCAAAACAAAUACAAAGUUUAUACAUUCCUGUUGUAAAUAUUCUUAAACAAAAAAAGAAACGAAAACCACGGAAUUAUUUAUACUCCAAAUAAAAUAUUGUAUAUACGCAAAGAAAAAUAUUUAAAAAAAAAUUGGGAUCUUUAUAAACCUCUUUCCAUAAACGGGACUAUCAUCUAAGCUCGCAGGGUUCCAAUUUAAUUCUAUAUCCCAUAUUUUAUAUAAACAGUCUGAUCGUACCACAUCCCGUUCAUUAUUUUACGCAUAAUUUUAUGUCUUCCUCCCAUUGUUUUUGAUUAAACUGAACUUGACCGUAAAGGAUUAAUU